rnacentral:lncRNA from 1 species
AUGUUCCCUGGCUACACCCGCACAGGCUGUCAUCGUUCUCCUGGCCUACCUGUACAUUUGGAGGGACACAGAAAAGUUGACCCUGUGGGACCAGAGCAAAGGAGGACUCUGAGACAGGCCAGGAAGAAGGCCAUGAAAAAUGUGGCGGUCAACAAGGCAUUAUUACCAGGACAUUUCAUUCUGAAGCACUACACAAAUGUCCUCCCACACAAUAAAACGCGAGAAAACUGAAGACAAAGUUUGUCUAUUGAUACUUAAACUUGUUUUUAAACCUAAACCCAAGUGCAAAAGGUAGGAAGAAAUUUGGAUCAUACAGAACAAGUAAGAACUGUAGUAAGACAUGCUUGCUUGCUAUGCCUCUGUUCUUCUAAGGUGCCCUUUGGAUUGAUGGUUCUGCUAGGGAUCCCAAGGUUCCCUACUUGGUGAAGGUCAUUUUUUUCUUUUAGAUAAAAAGACUUGACUUUUUGUGAGAUUUACUUUUAAAUCUUGGGAACUUUCAUUACUGGACAGUAUUACUCCCCAAGUGAUAUUUACUAUGCAGCCUUCAAGAAUGCGACUCUGGUAUCACUUUGUUUAAACCAACAUAAAAAUUACAAGACCAAAUCCAGAAUCCAAUGCAAAUCAGACAAAUAAACCUAAGUCAAACAAAUAGGGGUGUUUAAAA